AAAUUCCGAGGAACAUAUUUUAUUCGAGUGGGAAAAUGGGUAUAAAAUAACAGAUAUAAAAAAAAAAAAAAUAUGCAUAUUGUUUAUAUAUAUAGCUUUUUUCAUCCUCCGUUUAUAUAUUCAUUUAUUUGUUCAUUUGUUUAUUUGUCCAUUUGCCCACUUGUUUGUUUGUCCAUUUGCCCACUUGUUUGUUUGUCCAUUUGCCCACUUGUUUAUUUGUCCAUUUGCCCACUUGUUUAUUUGUUCGUUUCUUUUAUUCAUUUUUACAACACAUUUUCCUUAAAAUUUUAAAUGCAUGAUUAGCACUCAAAAUAUAUAUUUUGAAUACAACGAACAAAACAGCACCAUUACCAAACAAUCUACUGAUGUGUCAAAUAUAAAACCUAUAGGAAAUUGUGAAAAUAGCAAAUGGUCAACAGAAAGAAAAAACAACUUUAUUUUUGAAAAAUUUCACAAUAUGAAAGAUUUUUUAAACGAUGACAUUAUAAAACCUAACAAAAUCCCAAUGUUAUGGAUCUAUGACUACAGGAUGAUUUACUCAACGUUAAAAAAAAAAUAUAAUAAAAAAUAUGCAAAAUAAAAUAGUUUACCAUUUAUUUAUUUUUCUUUAUAUUUGCCCAUUUUUUCUUUUUAUCCUUUUUCUUUUUUACAGAAAUUAUACUGAUGAACAAAUAAUUAAAAAAGAUAUUAAGUUUAUAAACAACAUUUUAUCGUAAUAUUUUAAAUGUAUUAUUUUUUUUUAAUAUUUAAAAAAUUAUUAAUUUUUUAAAAUAUUGUAGUGUACAUUUUUAUUACAUUUCACUAAACAUCUUGUUUGCAAUUGUUAUUAAGUACUAGACCUCACUAUCUUGUAUAUAUUUUUCUAGUAUAUAUAUUUAUAUAUACAUAUACGUGUGUUGUAAUGUAUAUAUUUUUGUUUAGACAUGUCACAUAAGCGCUCUUGAGUGGACAUUCACUGUUUAAUCGAUUUUAGUCUAUUUAAUAAAAUACUUAUAUUUUUUUAAUUCA
rnacentral:lncRNA from 1 species